rfam:Capsicum annuum cultivar Zunla-1 chromosome 6, whole genome shotgun sequence
AGAUGAUGAAAAGAACAAUUCCUGAGCAUAGCCUUAAAUCUUUCCCAAGCUUGGUAAAGAUUCUCUCCAUCUUUCUGCCUGAAACUUAGAAUCUCAUUUCUCAAACG